GCUUCAUGUUUGGAGAGGGGCAAGGUGGGCUUCUGAAAUGGCUAAUGCACUGUUCCCCCAGCCCGAAUGUCUCCUCUUUAGAACUCUUUCUCUGCCCCCAGUUCCCACAUCUCUCUGUCCCGUGUCGUCCUCUGGGUCCAACAGGGACCAUCUCUCAGUUUCUCGGCUCUCGCUUUGGUGUUGGCGGUGACGUGGGGGAUGGCGGGGCUUGUGCUGAGCCUGGGAGCCAGGACAGGGGCCUGGGUACCUAAGGAGCGAGGGAAGAGGGGGUGACAGGUGUAAAGGCUGCCUCUCCGUCCUUGGCGGGUUUUGAGAAUAGGGGCUCCCGCCUUCCUGCCCUCUCAUCCAGUGUGGACAGUAUCCCUCUGCCCUUCCUUCUUUUAGCUCAAAAGCUGGGAAGGAGCAGGGAGAGAAGGGACUUGGAGAAUCCUGUUCGUGUAGCUUCUCGGGCCGUGGCCCAUGUGUGUUCACAGGAAGCUUCUAGCCCUGCCUGCCGCUGAGACGGGGCGGCCUCAGAACUGUCGGCAGGAAAGCCAGAUGACUUUGGACCAGGAACUAGGUGCCCAAGGCUGGCCCUUUGCUCUGUGCCUGUGGGCACGCCCCUGCCCUCUCUGGGCCCCAGCUGCCCCAGCCGCAGAGCCAAGAAGCCUGGACUGGCGGAUCUGAAGGCUCUCCUCUGGUUGAUGCUAAUUCUAAGCUUGGGUUUCCUGCAGUUGGUGAUUCUGCGGUCUGUGGCUGAGUUUCCUGAGCCCAGCAGAUGUGGGCACUGUCUGGGUCGCUGUUUUGUCCCUUGGCAUGAAUCUCCAGGGACAUGGCAGCCGCUGGUCGCGGUGUGUGGGUUCAGAUGACACAUCUGGUCCCUCCCCGCGGUGCUUCUUGGUUCCUCCUGCCCUCGGGAGCUAUUUUGCAGCCCCAAGCUCGACCUCACCCAGGGAAGGCUUCCAGCGGGAGAAGCAGUCUCCCAGAAUGUGCAGGGCAGGGCCGGAGUCUAGAAUCCCUGCUUCUCCUUUGCAAAGUCAGCAUCCAUCUUUUUCUGCUCAUCGCGGCCCCAGGAGAGGAGAAGCUGGCCCUCGCCCCGACUUGGAAUUUUCUUUGCCCCCCUCCCCCCCGCCCGCCCCCUACCCCUAAUCCUGCAGAGACAGGUACAGUAGUUCCAUUUUCACAGGUGACUUUGAAGCCUGGGUUCUUUGAGGCCCCUGCAGUCACCGACCUGCUCCGGCCGCUGGCCCAGGAGGCCCAGGACUCACCACCAAAUCCCGCAGUUCCUCAGUCUGGCUCUGACCUGGGGCCCUAGGGCAGGAGGUGAGCUUGGUGGCUUGGGGCCGGCGGGGAGAGGGGAGCGGGGCCUUCCUCCAGGUCAGCUGACUUCUCUGGCCUCCGCCUGAGCCUCGAUUUGCCUCUCCGGCCCAGUGGGCAGGGGCUGUCGUGCAGCCUGCCCUGGAGGCAUCGCGCUAAAGGGCUUGCGGCCGAGAAUGAGCCAGGGUUAAGCAUGCGGGGCCCGCCAGCUGAGGCGUCUGUCCCCAGGCAUCCAGGGAGAUCUGCGUGCAAGGCUUCCCUCCCACCUCCUCGCCUUUUGGCCUUUUGUUUUGGAGCCACGGGUGUGGCUUUUGGCCUUAGCUGGCAGUACCAUGGAUGCACGCCCCAGGCACACCGAGUCCACCCCCGGAGACGGUCCAGAGCUGCCAGUCGGAGGCCGCUCUUCUUCCUGGCAGGGUGCUGGACACUGGCCAUUUUUGCCCAAGGUUGCUGGCAGGGGGCAGUUCUGUCCCCUCCUCUGACCGGAUCUCUAGCUGCAGCACCCUGGGAGCCCUGAGCAGCCUGUGGGCCUCGCUCCUCAGCCCCAUGUUGCACCUGAGGCCCACCCCCAUCAGCUGCUGCUCUCUGGGGCUGCCUGAUCAUCCGGGAGCCAGGCUCUCCGUCCCUCUGCUGACCCUUGCUCUCCAGCCCAGGAGCAGGGACCAGCCUUGGGCAGCCCAUCUGCAGUGGCCCUGGUCUCUUCCUCACCGUGUCCGCUGCCCACUCCGUGUUGAUGGUACUUAGAGAACGCCGCGAGUUUGUAGUAUUUCACCAGGCAAUGUUUAGAGUCAUGUUGAAAGGCAAACCUGUGUGUCCUCUUCCCCUGAAACGCUUUUCAUUUUGACAGCCAACUGCCUAGAUGACAGAUGCACCUGGGCUUUCGGGGACAUUGUGUCUUCUCUAGGGGGUUGGGGGAUGGGAAGAGGCAGAAAAAGCCCCACUGCUCACCUAGAGGAAAGCCACCUGAUUCCCAGCGGUUUCAGUGUCUAAGGGAUGGAAGGGAAGGCGGGCACGCCCCCUGGUGGCGAUGAGCCGUGACGGCAUGUGGGGGCCCUGACCUGCCACAUAGGUGAUUUGAGAGGGGAGGCUGCGGAUGGGGAGGUGAAGAGGGGGCUGUGAUCUCACCCAGACCCUGGGCUUCCUGCCCCACCUUUCGGCAGCAUGUCUCCCAGAUGCCUCUCUUCCUGAUCAACCCCGGGGGAUGGCAAGUGAAUUAGCAUCAAAGGCGCUGUGAUGAGAAGCCUCGCCCCACCCUUUUUUAAUAUCUGCGGAAUAAACGCAAUGGUUGAUUUUUGAACGAAUAAAAGGCUUUUGUUGAA
rnacentral:lncRNA from 1 species